rnacentral:misc_RNA from 1 species
AGCUAGAAAAAUUUGAAAAACUAGUUGUUAGUUCCUUGAAAAUGUGUAGACUGAUUUUAGGGAUGUGUUUCCAAAAGUCGUUAGUAAAAAAUGUUACCUGGAUAAAACUAGUUAGCUAAAAAUAAAGCAGCUUGAAAUUAGGUAGCUAAUUUUAACUUUUAGCAAAAUUAGAUGAUAAAAGUAGCUAGCUAAUUUCACUACUGUCUGAAUCAUCCUCCAAAGAUUUUGGAUUUUCAUGAACCACUUCAACAAUUUAUUUUGGCCAUUCAAAAGCUUUAGAAAUAAGUUAGAAACAAUUUCUGAACAUUUAAAUUUAAAAUGAAAAACUUUUAUAGUUCAAUUUUUGGCAAAAGAACUAUUUUAUCCCUUACAUUUGGCCUAUUAG